rnacentral:lncRNA from 1 species
GUUUGUGACCGGGAUGCAGCCUUCUCUUCUGUAUCAUCCAUUCACCCUCCCUGGGCUUCCCUGGAAUGGUCAACGGAAGUUCCACAUAUGGCCUGCCACAAUCUGUUAUGAGAAUAACAGAGGAUUCAGUGUGAGAAUCAGUGAGAAAUAUAUUUUGCUCUCCCCCGGGUCUGGCCCAGGGUGAGCAUAGUGCAGAAACAGCUCCCACACCUUAAGAAAGGGAGCCAGAGACCGAGUGGUAUCUAAUGCAAAUCUAUUCUAAGAAGGCUGUGGGGGCCAUCUGGUGUCCGAUGCAGACAGGGCCUGCUGCGAGAUGAAUUGGGAGGACAAGGGACUGGGUGAGAGCGAGUGACGGGAGGUGAGAGGCUGACUCCUUUUUAUCCAUGUCAAAACACAGCCCAUCAGGAGGAUAAGAAGAGAAAUCACCUUAUGUUGUGGGAAGCAGAUCAAAGCAGAAAAGAUAACGUCUCCAAAAGAAAAGGGGGAACAGAAAGCCGUGUUGUUGAACAAAGACGGGAGAGAAACAGGCUUGGGUCACUGGAUACCAAGCUGGACUCAAUGGCUGUCUGGGUGGCCUCCUUCAAAGAAAAGGCAAAUCCUUCCACCAGUUGUUCCGGCUUCAGACACGCAUAGACACUAACCCUUCCCGCGCGGCAUCUCUCUGGGUUUUUUGUUUCCUGAAAAAUAUAGUCCCUAUCACUGGCUUUCUAUGCAGAGCUAAAAUAAUUCAUCAAAUAUUUGGAAUGUGUAAUUAAA